GACGAACGCUGGCGGCGUGCCUAAUACAUGCAAGUCGAACGCAGUGGGGACGGGUGAGUAAAACGUGGGUAACCUCCCAUAAGAGGGGAUAACACUUGGCAACAGGUGCUAAACCGAUACUGCUGGAUGGACCCGCGGUGCAUUAGCUAGGUGGGGAGGUAACGGCUCACCAUGGCCACGAUGCAUAGCCGAUCGGAGAGGUUGAGCGGCCACACGGCAACGGAGACACGGCCCAGACUCCUACGCGAGGCAGCAGGGGGGAAUAUUCGGCAAGGGGCUAAAGUCGGACCGAGCAACGCCGCGUGAGUGAAGAAGGUUUUCGGAUCGUAAACCACUGUCGUUAGAGAAGCGGUAUCUAACCAGAAAGCCACGGCUAACUCCGUGCCAGCAGCCGCGGUAAUAC
rnacentral:rRNA from 1 species